rnacentral:tRNA from 2 species
GGAGAGGUUCCCGAGUGGCUAAAGGGGGCAGACUGUAAAUCUGCUGGCUCAGCCUACGUUGGUUCGAAUCCAGCCCUCUCCA